AUACACCAAAACCAUUUCAUUAAAGGACCACUCUUGGCACCCAGACCACUUCAGCUUAAUGAGGUGGUCUGGGUGCCAGGUCCAGCUAGGGUUAACCCAUUUUUUCAUAAAUCUAGCAGUUUCAGAGAAACUGCUAUGUUUAUGAAUGGGUUAAGCCUUCCCCUAUUUCCUCUAGUGGCUCUCAUUGACAGCCACUAGAGGCGCUUGUGUG